rnacentral:lncRNA from 1 species
GAGAACCAAAGUAAGUAGAAGCUCCAAGAUCGGAGAGGAGAAUGGCAACAAGACCUACCCAGCUGGUAGAGGGGGACUACACAAGUGGUAGAGGGGAGACUCCAUGGCGGAGAGGAGGAUCUUGCAUUACAAUUUCCAUUUCCUUCCAUAGCUCUUUCUAGUAGCCUUUGGGACUUGAAUUGAGCUGCGUGGGGGCCGCUUAUAUCCAUCUCAAAUCGAAUGGCUCCUACUUUGUAUCUUUUUAGAUGCGUUUGACCCCACGACACCUCGCAAAAUCCCAUCUUCAACCUCUGAAUCAUUUCAAACUUACCCUUAAAGGCCAUGCCCAUUAGACUCCACAAAAUCAAAGCAGGACUCGUUCAAAAAGCUCGAAUCGAAACGUCAUGUUCGAGAAAGAGGACGACCCGUCAACCAUC